rnacentral:SRP_RNA from 10 species
GCUGGGGGUGGUAGCACACAUCUGUAGUCCCAGAUAGUUGGGCGGCUUAGGUGGGAGGAGAGCCCGAGCCCAGGACUUCUGAGCUGUAGCGCCCUAUGUCGAUCAGGUGUCUGUACUAAGUUCAGCAUGAAUAUGAUGACCUUCCAGGAGUGGGGCACCACCAGGUGGCCUAAGGAGGAGCGAAUCUGCCCAGGUCAGAAAUGGAGCAGGUCAAAACUGAUGUGCUGAUCCGUAGUGAGAUAGUCCCUGUGAAGAGCCACUGCACUCCAGCCUGGGUGGCAUAGCGAGACCCCAUCU